rnacentral:rRNA from 1 species
GAUGAACGCUGGCGGCGUGCCUAAUACAUGCAAGUCGAGCGAACGGACGAGAAGCUUGCUUCUCUGAUGUUAGCGGCGGACGGGUGAGUAACACGUGGAUAACCUACCUAUAAGACUGGGAUAACUUCGGGAAACCGGAGCUAAUACCGGAUAAUAUUUUGAACCGCAUGGUUCAAAAGUGAAAGACGGUCUUGCUGUCACUUAUAGAUGGAUCCGCGCUGCAUUAGCUAGUUGGUAAGGUAACGGCUUACCAAGGCAACGAUGCAUAGCCGACCUGAGAGAGGGGUCGGCCACCCGGGAACGUGGACACGGUCCAGACUCCUACGGGAGGCAGCAGUAGGGAAUCUUCCGCAAUGGGCGAAAGCCUGACGGAGCAACGCCGCGUGAGUGAUGAAGGUCUUCGGAUCGUAAAACUCUGUUAUUAGUGAAGAACAUAUGUGUAAGUAACUGUGCACAUCUUGACGGUACCUAAUCAGAAAGCCACGGCUAACUACGUG